rnacentral:tRNA from 1 species
GGAGGGGUACCCAAGCGGCUUAAGGGAGUGGUCUUGAAAACCACCAGGCGGGUAAUGCCCGUGCGUGGGUUCAAAUCCCACCCCCUCCGCCA